CUAACAAGGAUUCCCCUAGUAACGGCGAGUGAAGCGGGAAGAGCUCAAAUUUGUAAUCUGGCGGUCUAAGGCCGUCCGAGUUGUAGUCUAGAGAAGUGUUAUCCGUGACGGACCGUGUACAAGUCCCUUGGAACAGGGCGUCAUAGAGGGUGAGAAUCCCGUCUUAGACACGGACURCCGUUACAUUGUGAUGCGCUCUCGAAGAGUCGAGUUGUUUGGGAAUGCAGCUCAAAUCGGGUGGUAAAUUCCAUCUAAAGCUAAAUAUUGGCGAAAGACCGAUAGCGAACAAGUACCGUGAGGGAAAGAUGAAAAGCACUUUGGAAAGAGAGUUAAACAGUACGUGAAAUUGUUGAAAGGGAAACGAUUGAAGUCAGUCGCGCCUCCCGGGACUCAGCCUUGUAUUCACACGGUGUAUUUCCUGGGAUGGCGGGCCAGCAUCGAUUUCGAUCGUCAGAGAAAGGCCUAGGGAAUGUGGCACCUUCGGGUGUGUUAUAGCCCUGGGUCGUAUGUGACGGUUGGGAUCGAGGACCGCAGCACGCCUUUAUUGGCCGGGGUUCGCCACGUAACGUGCUUAAGAUGCUGGCGUAAUGGCUUUAAACGACCCGUCUU
rnacentral:rRNA from 1 species